CGCGUGUGUGAAGAAGGCCUUCGGGUUGUAAAGCACUUUCAGCUGUGAGGAAAGGCGAGUGGUUAAUACCCGCUUGCUGUGACGUUAACAGCAGAAGAAGGACCGGCUAACUCCGUGCCAGCAGCCGCGGUAAUACGGAGGGUCCGAGCGUUAAUCGGAAUUACUGGGCGUAAAGCGCGCGUAGGUGGUUCAGUCAGUCAGAUGUGAAAGCCCCGGGCUCAACCUGGGAACUGCACCUGAUACUGCUGAGCUAGAGUACGGUAGAGGGCAGUGGAAUUUCCGGUGUAGCGGUGAAAUGCGUAGAGAUCGGAAGGAACACCAGUGGCGAAGGCGACUGCCUGGACCGAUACUGACACUGAGGUGCGAAAGCGUGGGUAGCAAACAGGAUUAGAUACCCUGGUAGUCCACGCCGUAAACGAUGUCAACUAGCCGUUGGGGGACUUGAUCCUUUAGUGGCGAAGCUAACGCGAUAAGUUGACCGCCUGGGGAGUAC
rnacentral:rRNA from 1 species